rnacentral:rRNA from 1 species
AACUGAAGAGUUUGAUCCUGGCUCAGAUUNAACGCUGGCGGCAUGCUUUACACAUGCAAGUCGAACGGUAACAGGGAGCUUGCUCCGGUGACGAGUGGCGGACGGGUGAGUAAUAAUCUGGAACGUACCCAGAAGUGGGGGAUAACGUAGCGAAAGUUACGCUAAUACCGCAUACGAUCUAUGGAUGAAAGUGGGGGAUCGCAAGACCUNACUCUUUUGGAGCGGCCGAUAUCUGAUUAGCUAGUUGGUGAGGUAAAGGCUCACCAAGGCGACGAUCAGUAGCUGGUCUGAGAGGACGACCAGCCACACUGGAACUGAGACACGGUCCAGACUCCUACGGGAGGCAGCAGUGGGGAAUUUUGGACAAUGGGCGCAAGCCUGAUCCAGCAAUGCCGCGUGAGUGAAGAAGGCCUUCGGGUUGUAAAGCUCUUUUGUCAGGGAAGAAACUGGAAUGGCUAAUAUCUGNNUACGAUGACGGUACCUGCAGAAUAAGCACCGGCUAACUUCGUGCCAGCAGCCGCGGUAAUACGUAGGGUGCAAGCGUUAAUCGGAAUUACUGGGCGUAAAGCGUGCGCAGGCGGUUUUGUAAGUCUGUCGUGAAAGCCCCGGGCUUAACCUGGGAAUUGCGAUGGAGACUGCAAGGCUUGAAUCUGGCAGAGGGGGGUAGAAUUCCACGUGUAGCAGUGAAAUGCGUAGAGAUGUGGAGGAACACCGAUGGCGAAGGCAGCCCCCUGGGUCAAGAUUGACGCUCAUGCACGAAAGCGUGGUUAGCAAACAGGAUUAGAUACCCUGGUAGUCCACGCCCUAAACGAUGUCUACUAGUUGUYGGGUCUUAAUUGACUUGGUAACGCAGCUAACGCGUGAAGUAGACCGCCUGGGGAGUACGGUCGCAAGAUUAAAACUCAAAGGAAUUGACGGGGACCCGCACAAGCGGUGGAUGAUGUGGAUUAAUUCGAUGCAACGCGAAAAACCUUACCUACCCUUGACAUGUCAGGAACCUCCGAGAGAUUGGAGGGUGCCCGAAAGGGAGCCUGAACACAGGUGCUGCAUGGCUGUCGUCAGCUCGUGUCGUGAGAUGUUGGGUUAAGUCCCGCAACGAGCGCAACCCUUGUCAUUAGUUGCUACAUGGCAAUGAGCACUCUAAUGAGACUGCCGGUGACAAACCGGAGGAAGGUGGGGAUGACGUCAAGUCCUCAUGGCCCUUAUGGGUAGGGCUUCACACGUCAUACAAUGGUCGGUACAGAGGGCCGCCAACCCGCGAGGGGGAGCUAAUCCCAGAAAGUGUAUCGUAGUCCGGAUCGCAGUCUGCAACUCGACUGCGUGAAGUUGGAAUCGGUAGUAAUCGCGGAUCAGCAUGCCGCGGUGAAUACGUUCCCGGGCCUAGUACACACCGCCCGUCACACCAUGGGAGUGGGUGGUACCAGAAGUAGGUAGCUUAACCACGAGGAGGGCGCUUCC